GGCGUCCAGCAGGCUCCUGACGAACCCCCACAUGGACUCCUUGCUGUCGCUGGUUAUCUGCAAGCAGAGCAGACACAGCAGGUGGCCGGUAAGGGGAUCUGAACCCUUGACCUUGGUGUUGCAAGGCUGCGCUCUGACCAACUGAGCCAACCACCAGCCCUUACUCACGUUUCUAGACUCAUCUGUUUUCUUCCCCUUCCAGGAAUCCCCCACCAGACCCCUGGAGCUCCCUGAAUUGCCCAAGUGUGCCAUGUUCUUUCAUGCCUCUGACUUAAGAAAGGGCCACUCUGGUGUUUAGAAUGCUUUUCCCUUUGUCUGCCCAAUGAACUCUCAGUCUUCCUUCAAGUCCCAACUGAAAUAUCACCCUCUGAGAACCUCUUCCCUAACCGUCCCUCUUAGAUGACCCCAUAGCACUUACACGUAGCUUCACUGCAGCCCAUUAAAAUAUGUAUCGACCGCCAACUA